rnacentral:misc_RNA from 1 species
GAUGAAUAACGCAGCGAAAUGCGAUAAGUAAUGUGAAUUGCAGAAUUCAGUGAAUCAUCGAAUCUUUGAACGCACAUUGCGCCCCUUGGUAUUCCGAGGGGCAUGCCUGUUCGAGCGUCAUUAUAACCCCUCAAGCUCAGCUUGGUGUUGGGGCCUGCUGCACUGGCAGCCCUUAAAAUCAGUGGCGGCGCCAUCUGGCUCUAAGCGUAGUAAUUCUUCUCGCUAUGGAGUCCUGGUGGAUGCUUGCCAUCAACCCCCAAUUUUUCUAUGGUUGACCUCGGAUCAGGUAGGGAUACCCGCUGAACUUAAGCAUAUCAAUAAGCGGAGGA